GGCUCGUUGGUCUAGAGGUAUGAUUCUCGCUUCGGGUGCGAGAGGUCCUGGGUUCAAGUCCCAGACGAGCCC
rnacentral:tRNA from 1 species